CCUACGGGCGGCAGCAGUGGGGAAUAUUGCGCAAUGGGCGAAAGCCUGACGCGGCGACGCCGCGUGAGGGAUGAAGGUCUUCGGAUCGUAAACCUCUGUCAGCAGGGAAGAACGGUCACUGUGCUAAUCAGCAGUGAAUUGACGGUACCUGCAAAGGAAGCACCGGCUAACUCCGUGCCAGCAGCAGCGGUAAUACGGAGGGUGCGAGCGUUAAUCGGAAUUACUGGGCGUAAAGCGCUCGUAGGCGGUAUGUCAAGUCAAGGGGGAAAUCCCCGCGCUCAACGUGGGAACUGCCUUUGAAACUGGCAAACUGGAGUGUGUGAGAGGAUAGUGGAAUGCCAGGUGUAGGAGUGAAAUCCGUAGAUAUCUGGAGGAACAUCAGUGGCGAAGGCGACUAUCUGGCACAUAACUGACGCUGAGGAGCGAAAGCGUGGGUAGCAAACAGGAUUAGAUACCCCUGUAGUC
rnacentral:rRNA from 1 species